CAGGGCUGGGGAAGGGCUACUGGGCUGUGGGGCCAGCAGGCCCAGCCUCGUACCAGCCAGCCCCACCCCGUGCCCCAGAGCAAGGCCCGGGCUGCUCCUGCUGGGCUCAUCCGUGCAGUUCCAGGUGUGAGCACCAGUGCAGCCUUUUGGUGCUCAUGUAUGAUGCUGCAGACACCU
rnacentral:snoRNA from 1 species